UACGUAGGGGGCAAGCGUUGUCCGGAUUCAUUGGGCGUAAAGAGCGUGUAGGCGGCCAGGUAGGUCGGUUGUGAAAACUGGAGGCUCAACCUUCAGAGGUCGACCGAAACCAUCUGGCUAGAGUCCGGGAGAGGAGAGUGGAAUUCCACGUGUAGCAGUGAAAUGCGUAGAGAUGUGGAGGAACACCGAUGGCGAAGGCAGCCUCCUGGGCUAGUACUGACGCUCAUGCACGAAAGCGUGGGGAGCAAACAGG
rnacentral:rRNA from 1 species